AUUUCCCCGCCGAAUGCGCGUGGGAACAUAAAGCGAGUUUCUGUAGUGGAUACACGCUUGGUGAAUAUGUUUGGUAAAUCCUGUCCACCCCGUGGUCAGGUAGUCGGCAAGACGUCGGACUGUCGGAAGAAUUGGAACGCUGGCACACUGUUGGGUCCUGAGGCAACACGUCCAGUGUUGUCGCCCUGCUUGGUGGUGGGGUGUGGACUUUGACUUC
rnacentral:misc_RNA from 1 species